UCGGAUAUGGUGUAACGGCUAACAUUGCCGCCUCUCAUGUUAGUGCGCGGCAGCUCGGGGUUCGAUUCCCCGUAUCCGAA
rnacentral:tRNA from 1 species